UACGUAGGGUGCAAGCGUUAAUCGGAAUUACUGGGCGUAAAGCGUGCGCAGGCGGUUGUGCAAGACAGAUGUGAAAAUCCCCGGGCUCAACCCUGGGAAUUGCAUUUGGUGACUGCACGGCUAGAGUGUGUCAGAGGGGGGUAGAAUUCCACGUGUGGAGCAGUGAAAUGCGUAGAGAUGAUGGAGGAAUACCGAUGGCGAAGGCAGCCCCCUGGGAUAACACUGACGCCUCAUGCACGAAGCGUGGGAGC
rnacentral:rRNA from 1 species